UACGAAGGGGACUAGCGUUGUUCGGAUUUACUGGGCGUAAAGCGCGCGUAGGCGGACCGCUAAGUCAGGGGUGAAAUCCCAGGGCUCAACCCUGGAACUGCCUUUGAUACUGACGAUCUGGAGAUCGGGAGAGGUUGGUGGAAUUCCGAGUGUAGAGGUGAAAUUCGUAGAUAUUCGGAGGAACACCAGAAGCGAAGGCGGCCAACUGGCCCGAUACUGACGCUGAGGCGCGAAAGCGUGGGGAGCAAACAGG
rnacentral:rRNA from 1 species